UAGGAGGGCUCCCCGGUGAGGUAGACGGGAAUAGGAGGGCUCCCCGGUGAGGUAGACGGGAAUAGGAGGGCUCCCCGGUGAGGUAGACGGGAAUAGGAGGGCUCCCCGGUGAGGUAGACGGGAAUAGGAGGGCUCCCCGGUGAGGUAGACGGGAAUAGGAGGGCUCCCCGGUGAGGUAGACGGGAAUAGGAGGGCUCCCCGGUGAGGUAGACGGGAAUAGGAGGGCUCCCCGGUGAGGUAGACGGGAAUAGGAGGGCUCCCCGGUGAGGUAGACGGGAAUAGGAGGGCUCCCCGGUGAGGUAGACCUGUAUAGGAGGGCUCCCCGACGUGCCCCUGGUGUCGACCCUGGUGUCGUCUUUCUACCGCGGCUGCAUGGAGGUGACGAUCAACGGCCUGGCUCUGGACCUGGACGAGGCCUUCCACAAACACAACGACAUCCGCUCCCACUCCUGCCCUCUGCUGGGGGGGGCCUUGUGACCGCUGCAGUCCCCUUCAGCCCCGUCCUCACUGGAGUCGGGGGAAGUUGCCCCUAGACACUGAUCUUGGGUCAGUUUGACAUUUCCCCCCAACAAAUGGUUACGGUUAGGAUUAGGGGGAGUGGAAGCUGAUCCUAGAUCUGUAGCAAGGGGAAACUUCACCCCUGUCCACUACAGUCCACCAUAACCCACAGGGCCUUAACCUAAGCAAGGAAUGAGUCCCAAAUAGCACUCUAUUCCCUAUAUGACCCCUAUGGGUUCUGGUCAAAACUAGUGCACUAUUUAGGGAAUAGGGUGCCAUUUGGGAUGUACACAGGAGCUGGCCGAGUGGCCAACCCUUCUCCCGACCAACCCUUCUCCCGACCAACCCUUCUCCCGGCCAACCCUUCUCCCGGCCAACCCUUUUCCCGGCCAACCCUUUUCCCGGCCAACCCUUUUCCCGGCCAACCCUUUUCCCGGCCAACCCUUUUCCCGGCCAACCCUUUUCCCGGCCAACCCCUUCUCCCGGCCAACCCCUUCUCCCGGCCAACCCCUUCUCCCGACCAACCCUUCUCCCGACCAACCCUUCUCCUGGACUACCCUCAGUCAUUCUACUCUCAGCGUGAUUGAAUGUAGGAGCAGCACUCUCACAUCUGAGGUUGCAGGUGCGUAGGAGAAUUCAGUGAUAUCUUGAAAAGAAAAAUCCAAUAUCUCACACUGCUCUUGCCAGUAUCUUUUAGUGUAAUAAGCUUAUGUAUCGGCCUCACGGCCUUCGUCAGAGCUAACGGUGAUCAAACUGGAUCCAUAAGUGGAAUAGCUGGCAGUACUCCAGAAGAGGUUUGGUAAACUGACCCAGUCCCUUGUGGAACAAAACCUAUAAGGUGUGUGUGGGGGUGUAUUCAGUAGCACAAGGCUUUGUUGUUGUAAAACUUGCACACCAUCGCAGGUAAAAAUGGACUGAGUUUAAUAAAAACAUCUGUUCGGUGCUUUCCAACUUAAUGCAAACUUAGUUUACCUGCAAUUUAGCUCUGCACACUGCCUACAGAUUACAACACAGGGCUAGGCCUUCUCUUAAUGACCCCAUUAAAAAAACCUUCCUUACCCUCCCAAACCAUGCUUCUAGUCCUCUACAGUUACAUCCACCCACCCUCAGCCAAUGAAACACUCCAUAAUGUCCCCCUUUCACAUGCCCCUCCCUCCUUCCCUCAGUAUCACCAAUCAGCACACGCCAGGAACACACUUUAAGCCAAUCAGAUGAGCCUAAUUAACAUGCAGUAACCAAUCAGACACAGAGGAGGAGGGCAUCAAGAGCACUGCUUCACCACACUGAGCUACUGAGAGAAUAGGAGUGUAAGCGCUGUAAUAUACUGUAUGUGUAAAUAAUGUGACUAAAUGCUUUUUAGAAAAAAUACGAAAGAAAGAAAAAAAAACGACCUCAACGCAUCAAGAUAGUCAUCCAAAACUGUUUCACUUCUCUAAAGAAUGUCAGAGGAACAAAGAACAUAAUCUUUCUUUAUUUCAUUAGGCCAGAAAGGGCUGCGGUAUUUCCUCCUCUGGGAUCUAGAGUUUCUGAUGAAUUUCACAAUGGAGCGGUCGAUGGAGGUUUUCUCUUCUGUGUUAUUAUACUAUAGGUUUGUUGGGCUGGUGAUUUGUUCACCUGUCUUUUUAGUCUUUACAUCCCUGAUCACAUCAAUUCAGUCUGUUUGAAAACUUAAUAAAGAUGAUGGCAUGGAGUUUUAAAA